rnacentral:rRNA from 1 species
CCUACGGGUGGCUGCAGUGGGGAAUAUUGGACAAUGGGCGAAAGCCUGAUCCAGCCAUGCCGCGUGUGUGAAGAAGGCCUUCGGGUUGUAAAGCACUUUCAGUGGGGAAGAAAGCCUUGGGGCUAAUACCCUCGAGGAAGGACAUCACCCACAGAAGAAGCACCGGCUAACUCCGUGCCAGCAGCCGCGGUAAUACGGAGGGUGCGAGCGUUAAUCGGAAUUACUGGGCGUAAAGCGCGCGUAGGCGGCCUGAUAAGCCGGUUGUGAAAGCCCCGGGCUCAACCUGGGAACGGCAUCCGGAACUGUCAGGCUAGAGUGCAGGAGAGGAAGGUAGAAUUCCCGGUGUAGCGGUGAAAUGCGUAGAGAUCGGGAGGAAUACCAGUGGCGAAGGCGGCCUUCUGGACUGACACUGACGCUGAGGUGCGAAAGCGUGGGUAGCAAACAGGAUUAGAUACCCCAGUAGUC